GUUUGAGGACGAAAUAUACAACGUUUUCAGAAAGUAUCUUCCCUUGCCCUUCCCUUUUCCAUUUGCUUAAUAUAAACGUGGAUCUUUUUUUUUCAGCUCUCAGAAUGGUGAGGCUGACGAGUGAUAUUCCACAUGGACUUGACUGCUUUGUGGCUCACCUUGGGCUUCUUAGCUCUCCACAGGAGAUCCAUCACCUCUUCUGCAGUGAGACACCUAAUUGGGGCAACACUCGAGACCUGCCAAAGGAAAGCCUUGCAUCUGCCAAUAACCUGUGAAAAGUGCUUCCUCAUUUCUGUGAUACCUACCAAGAAUGGGAGAUUUAGCGGGAGUUUCUAAGUUCCUCAGACAUUUAGAGAAGACCCCAAGCCCUUUCUACGAUGGAUGAAUUCCCAAGGACGAUGUGUCACCACUUGAAGACCGAUCUCACAAAGGACAGAUCAAUUCUGAAAUCUGUCUUUUCAGAAACAAGCUGACACUCUGGGCACCAAAACAGAUCAGAGGAACUGCAACAAAAAGCAGUGUUCUGCCAAAGCUGCAGGCAGGAGUCUGUCAGGGAGAAUGAUGGAGCAAGAAGAGUGGUGUUCUAACAGGCAAAGGGGGAAGAAAGAAAGAGUGAAAAGUGUAAGAAACUGGAAAGAGACUUCAAGGGGCACAACGCUGUUCAGUGGGGCAGAAACUGAGAAGCAAGUGAACUACAGUGCAGGGUGAUUUGCAUUUUCCAAGACAAUUUGUAAAAGGUGAAAAGCUGUAGAUGAAAUGCUUUGAUUUGCCUUUAUCGCACUCUGCCUGUGCACCUGUGUCAUUCAUUUCAUGUAAUAACCUCUGCUAAACAGUCAGAGGCUGCAGCAUAAUUGUGUUGACCUUAAAUUAAAGCAAAAAGCUGCAAUUCUGGAAUUUGAAGCUUGUAGUACCUUGCUGGCUAAAGGGCAAAAUAAAGAAGUAAAGAUGAAUGACAACUUUUCACGUCACGUGAAAAAUCAAGGCUUAUGCACCAGAGAACUUCACAACAAUUGAUUCGUAUCCUUUCAGCCUAUGUCUCAAUCCUAAAAUUGCAUUAAAAUUAAACUCUCUGUUUCUAAUUCUCAUCCAGUGGAGCUUAGAUGAACCUCAGAUUUUAGAUGGGGGUUAUGUUAUGGGAAUUGUUUUCUUUGCAACAUAAAGCACCAAGAAUGGGAAACAGUAGCAUUUUGGGGGGAUUCUUUUUGCUUUCUUUCCUUUUUAUUCCUUUCUAUCCCACACAGCAGAAAUGCAAUCUAAUUGAGUAGCAGGAAGGCAACCUACAUUAAGUUAACAAGUGAAGAAAAAAAGUCAAUCUUUCUGGCUUUGAAGGAAUUUAUACCAGGAGAAAAACUGUGCCUGCAAUACAAAGCCAAAAGAUAUCAACUAUCCUGAGAGAAGUUUUCACAACAAAGAACAUAAACUAGCAAAAAAAAAAAGGCAUUGCUGUGGUCGGUGUCCCUGAGAUGAGAAACCGAAAGCCGCGAGUGUAAAGCAGCUAUGAGAUGGUUGUCAGUGGAAUGUCAGCUUCCAGCAGAACAGGAAUAACUCAGAAGUCUCAGGACGAGUCUCUGCUUCCUCGCACACUGUACAGUGUUUUAAUCAAAGCCCGGAAUGAGCAGUUUCCAGCCAGCCACAAAAUGCCACGUCAGGCCCUGCAGAAAGAGGAUUGCAGCAGAAAUGGGGCUUCCCCAGAUCUAUCUAAGUUCUCUUAUUCCAGGGAUGGAAAUGUGGUACCACAUACUGAUAAACACACGAUACCAUUUGAACCAGGAUCUGCACCGUCACUCAGCAGAAAUGAGGAAGGCACAGUGCUCUGCAGCACGAGGCCGCUGACUUACCCACAGAGGCAGCACCGCCCGCACGGCGUGACUGGUGAGGCAGCUCCUGUCUCCUGGGCCCAGAGGUAAUUCCUUUUCCAGGUCUGCUCUGUGCUGGACCUUGCCUUUGCAGAUGUUGUGGCUGGCGCCAGAUGAUGCGCAGCAGCUUUGUAACGGGGAGUAUCCUCUCCUGGGGAUUGCACAGCCCUACCGAAGUCACGUCAAGGAGCACUUUGAUGAAAUGGAGAGCUGAACUGCAGGGGUAGGAACCAGUUCUUCUUUAUUUCAUUGUUUGGAAUUUUUUCCUGAGAGUGCGGUCAGGGAAGGGUGGGAGAUAGAAGACCUUCUUACCUUUCUGGUUUUGUCUCUUUCCAUGGUACAUCGCAUCCAUGCCUUCCACAGCUGCACUAGUAGGUCUGUACUUCCUGAGAGGAAUCCAACAGAAAAAUGUUCAGUCUUUAGGCCCCCCAGAAGCAGCACUGGUCUUUGCAGCAAUCCUUCUGAAAAUAUUUCCGUAAAGUUCUUCUUUUAAUUCCUGAUCCUGCUCAGACACAUUAGACUGAUACAAAACCCCGUAAGUAACUUCACCAGCCUCAGUGGAAUGGCUAAGCUCUCUGAACUCCACCUUUGCAUUAUCACACCAUUUAAUUACAUUAAAAUUAUAAAUAUAAUUAUGGCAGGUUCUAGGUCAUUGGCUCUGCAUCUUCCUGGUUAGGGCUGACCAUAGCAUUUGUCUGGAUUUUCUUGUCACAGAAUGGACUGAUCACUCCAUGCUUCCUAAGGGACCAAGUGCUUGUUCUCCACAGCUCCUUGGAGCUGAAGGUGCUUGCCCACACUGAGCGACGAGUGAGACUGUGCUAUGUUUCUAUGAGCAGAGCUGCUGUGAUGGAAAUUUCUGUUCCAACACACUUCCAAACAGAGAGAAAUAAAGGGGAAACAAAAGAAAAAGGAGUUACACGCCAGAAGGCAGCAUUUAAAUGCUAGUGUGGCAACCAGAGAGGUAAGGGAAUGAAACACCGACAGAGGGAGGCGAGGAAGGUCACUGUCCCCAGGGGCAGCAACAGCAGAUGGCCACAAGCACAAAUCAAGAAUUCUGCAGAUAGGAGUUUUACCCUCGCCCUUUGAUUUACUUAAGCAUAAUUUGCACUUUAGUUUAUUUUCAUGGCCAUUGGGAGGUUGGUAAAGGGCCAGAUUGCUCCAAAGGGAGAACAUUUUAAUGUGUACGUACAGUGGGAUAUUCAGAGACGCUGUCAGCAUUAAACCUCCUCAGUUCUCUUUAUUGGGAUGACAGCAGCAAUAAAAGAGCCACCUGAGGGUCUCUUCCACCCUCUCCCUUUCCUUGUGCAAUCCUAAAGCUUGCACAUAGAUUUCCUAGAUGGGGGUUGGACACUGCUUACACUUGGAUUUACCUGCAUUUCUGGGCUGGGCCAAAACUUCCAGUGGCAAAGUGAGAACAUUUUGGCUUUGAAUAAGAAGAGACAUUUCUUAGUGACUGUGCCGAGCUGCUUCAGACACAAAACAAACAUUGACUGCACAUCUAUCCUGGCAAAAACAAAAGAACUGACCUUAGCAGCGAUUACCAGGGAAUAGGCCCAGAUUUGCAUUUGAGACACUUGCAUUUCCAGCCCCUCGUGCCUCCAUAGGGAAAAGCUGAUGUUGCACAAAGAACAGUCAGGUAAACUGCUGUUCCUGCUCGUGUGAGUUCUACACAACUGAACCACCAGUAUUCCAGAUUCUGUUUAACUUCACAGCCUUUGGAGCUUUGCUUCCACUGUAUUGCAUUUAUUUUCUGGACAUACUCAAUUUUGCUGGCACGGGAGAUAAAAAAAUAAUAAAAGAAAGCUUAUGAUAGAAGAGUAGGAAACAAAUGACACUUGUGCAUUUGUCAUUGAUCCCUGAAAAAUUAGGUGAGCCCUAGACUUACUUUUGGAUUUAUCUCUGCUGGUUGUGCUAAUGCGUUAGGGUGUUCCCAAAGAACCCGAGAGAAACAAAUUCCCUGUUUUGCCUCCUAUUCGUGGCAGGGGAAGAACAAGAUCAAAUAUCAGGUUCAAUUGCUUAAAAAACUGUUAAACCUGUAGGAGAAAGAUUAAAAAAAAAAACCCCACGACCUUAGUAGCCUUUGCCAGAAAUGACAGAAAUGAGACAGACACAGUAAUCUUGCACAGUUAUUCCUUCAGUCUUUCUAAACUCCGAAGACAACCAAAUUAACACGGAAAUCGGAGCCCUCACACACCCUACAGCCAACAGCUCCCAAAAUUAUGAAAACCCUUAUUGAUUCAGUUUAUUGCUGUCCUGAAGCAAAAAAGUGCCUCUGCACUUAUUUAGUCCUUUUACCUUUGACUGAGGUUUGGUUUUGCCUUGUAUGGUGCCACUGAAGAGCAGUGGGGAGCAGUAACAAGGCUUCCUUAAUGCUGGAAUCAUGAAAGCUCGUUCCUUGGGAGAAGAGACCAAUCCCCGCUGGCUGCAGCCGCCUGGCAGGUACAGGGUACGGAGCAACCGGGGCUCCCCUGAGUCUCACUCAGUACUUUGGUUAUGCCAAACAUUUGGGCUCAUUCAGUUUGCUGGUAAGAAGACAUAAAGGUGACACAUCCUGGGCACUGUCCCUUCCUCCCCCUUAAGUGUCCCCCCAGGAUGGCCUGCGGCUCAUAAAGUAACAUCUGUGGAAUCAGGCACCUCUGAACGGGCUUCUAACAACUCAUUCCAUCACUUCUUGCCUCUUUUUAUUCAGUGCAAGCACGAAAAUUUCUGUGAUGGACAAUGAAAAGCAAUAGAGAAAAUCCCAGACAAAUGAUCAUAAAUGGCCCAGCUGAGAAAGCAGAUCCCAUGUAAUUGAAUAGAGGUGGAAGGUCAUUCCUAACACUUCAAAUGUAACAGCCAAAGCAGAUCCUUAUGUCACCGUGAUACUGACGUGGAAAGAUCACGUGCUUAAAAUUAUUUAAAAG